rnacentral:rRNA from 1 species
GACGAACGCUGGCGGCGUGCUUAACACAUGCAAGUCGAACGGAAAGGCCCUGCUUUUGUGGGGUGCUCGAGUGGCGAACGGGUGAGUAACACGUGAGUAACCUGCCCUUGACUUUGGGAUAACUUCAGGAAACUGGGGCUAAUACCGGAUAGGGGCUCCUGCUGCAUGGUGGGGGUUGAAAAGUUUCGGCGGUUGGGGAUGGACUCGCGGCUUAUCAGCUUGUUGGUGGGGUAGUGGCUUACCAAGGCUUUGACGGGUAGCCGGCCUGAGAGGGUGACCGGCCACAUUGGGACUGAGAUACGGCCCAGACUCCUACGGGAGGCAGCAGUGGGGAAUAUUGCACAAUGGGCGGAAGCCUGAUGCAGCAACGCCGCGUGCGGGAUGACGGCCUUCGGGUUGUAAACCGCUUUCGCCUGUGACGAAGCGUGAGUGACGGUAAUGGGUAAAGAAGCACCGGCUAACUACGUG